GAGUUUGAUCCUGGCUCAGGACGAACGCUGGCGGCGUGCUUAACACAUGCAAGUCGAACGCUGAAGCUUGGUGCUUGCACUGGGUGGAUGAGUGGCGAACGGGUGAGUAAUACGUGAGUAACCUGCCCUUGACUCUGGGAUAAGCCUGGGAAACUGGGUCUAAUACUGGAUAUGACCUCCUGUCGCAUGGUGGGGGGUGGAAAGGGUUUGUACUGGUUGUGGAUGGGCUCACGGCCUAUCAGCUUUUGGGGGGUAAUGGCCUACCAAGGGACGACGGGUAGCCGGCCUGAGAGGGUGACCGGCCACACUGGGAAUGAGACACGGCCCAGACUCCUACGGGAGGCAGCAGUGGGGAAUAUUGCACAAUGGGCGCAAGCCUGAUGCAGCGACGCCGCGUGAGGGAUGACGGCCUUCGGGUUGUAACCUCUUUCAGCACGGAAGAAGCGAAAGUGACGGUACGUGCAGAAGAAGCGCCGGCUAACUACGUGCCAGCAGCCGCGGUAAUACGUAGGGCGCAAGCGUUGCCCGGAAUUAUUGGGCGUAAAGAGCUCGUAGGCGGUUUGUCGCGUCUGCUGUGAAAGCCCGGGGCUUAACCCCGGGUGUGCAGUGGGUACGGGCAGACUUGAGUGCAGUAGGGGAGACUGGAACUCCUGGUGUAGCGGUGAAAUGCGCAGAUAUCAGGAAGAACACCGAUGGCGAAGGCAGGUCUCUGGGCUGUUACUGACACUGAGGAACGAAAGCAUGGGGACCGAACAGGAUUAGAUACCCUGGUAGUCCAUGCCGUAAACGUUGGGCACUAGGUGGGGGGAACAUCCCACGUUUUCCGCGCCGUAGCUAACGCAUUAAGUGCCCCGCCUGGGGAGUACGGCCGCAAGGCUAAAACUCAAAGGAAUUGACGGGGGCCCGCACAAGCGGCGGAGCAUGCGGAUUAAUUCGAUGCAACGCGAAGAACCUUACCAAGGCUUGACAUACACCGGAUCGGCUCAGAGAUGGGUUUUCCUCCUUGUGGGGCUGGUGUACAGGUGGUGCAUGGUUGUCGUCAGCUCGUGUCGUGAGAUGUUGGGUUAAGUCCCGCAACGAGCGCAAC
rnacentral:rRNA from 1 species